AAUGCGUUGUCAGUAAUUCCUGCGAAUACUUCACUUUCUCCCGCUUCCGAUUCUCUGUGCUUAGAAGAAAAGGACAAUCCUUCCACAAGGAGUAGUAAGACAAGAAUUGAUUAUGGUGAAACAGAAUUACAGAAGCCUACUCAAGAUUCGAAGAGAAUUGGGCCAUCACCUGCAUUUGAAGGUGACUCAUUUAUUCUAGAAAAAGAUGUGCACAAGCAGUAUGUGAAGCUGAAAUUGUCAAAGCAUUGUCAUAAAGGGCAUAAGAAGUGUAACUUGCAAGACUGCUCCAACAUUACAAAGAAAAGGAAGGAAUGCUCUACAAGUGUAGGUGAAAGCAAUUUGAAUGAGAAUACAAGAGGAAAUAAUGGCGUCUUCUCAAGUGCCGGAUCAUCAACAAAGUGAUUUGGUAAGAUGCAAGGCAAGUCCAACGUUACAAAAAGGAGGAAGGAAUGCUCUGCACGUGCAGGUGAAAGCAGUUUGAAUGAGAAUCCAACAGAAAAAGGUGGUGUCUUAUCAAGUGCUCAGCUGUUUGGUGAGUUGAAUAUGGAUAGGGUGUAAAAGUGUUUUUAGGUAAAUUAAGAUUUGAAUUGAACAUGAAUUAACGAACAUUUCACUCCUUUCAGGAAGUCGAAGACACCCAAUUCAGCUUGCUGAGGAUACCUUGAAAGAAGCUAUUGAUUUGAAACAUUCAACUAACCAUUUAAAGGUAGCUACACUAAAGAGGACUUAUAUGAUCCUCAACUUGAGGAUAUGCAUUGUAUCAUCAAGUCCUCAAUUCAUAAAAGCAUGUUUGGUGAUCUGUGCCAUUAGUCUGAUGGGAUCCACAGUGUAUGGGCCAUGGCUCAUGAAUGUCCUUGAUGACAUCCCUACUUUUAGUUGGCAAUGGGCAAAUAGACAUAGAAAAGAAACACAAUAAUAGUUCUCCUUCUACUCAAAAGGUGCCAGAGAAUUUGAAGCAUGGUUGAGUGGAGAAUCGGAAGUUGAAGUUAGUGGCAUAUAUCUUCAUGCAACUUUAAAAUUUCUACUUGCUGCAUCAAUGUUCGAGGCUUGCGACACGGGAAGCGCAUCAUUGGGUGAAAAAACUCAGUCAACUGAGAUCUAUAUCGACACAUCAAAGAUC